rnacentral:rRNA from 1 species
UGGGGAAUUUUGGACAAUGGGGGCAACCCUGAUCCAGCCAUGCCGCGUGAGUGAAGAAGGCCUUCGGGUUGUAAAGCACUUUCGGACGGAACGAAAUCGCACGGGUGAAUAUCCCGUGUGGAUGACGGUACCGUAAGAAGAAGCACCGGCUAACUACGUGCCAGCAGCCGCGGUAAUACGUAGGGUGCGAGCGUUAAUCGGAAUUACUGGGCGUAAAGCGUGCGCAGGCGGUUGUGUAAGUCAGAUGUGAAAUCCCCGGGCUCAACCUGGGAAUUGCAUUUGAGACUGCACGGCUAGAGUGUGUCAGAGGGGGGUAGAAUUCCACGUGUAGCAGUGAAAUGCGUAGAGAUCUGGAGGAACACCGAUGGCGAAGGCAGCCCCCUGGGCUAACACUGACGCUCAUGCACGAAAGCGUGGGGAGCAAACAGGAUUAGAUACCCAAGUAGUCCCUGAGCGGGCUGGCAAGGCGCAU